AAAUUAAAUAGGCAAAACUGACGAAAGUUAGUGACGCAAAGCUACAGGGGCUAAGCCUAAGGUAUGCCAGCCAGUUGCCAAA
rfam:Clostridium sulfidigenes strain 113A c1, whole genome shotgun sequence.